rnacentral:rRNA from 1 species
GACGAACGCUGGCGGCGUGCUUAACACAUGCAAGUCGAACGGAAAGGCCUGCUUUCCCUUGUGGAUUGCGGGUACUCGAGUGGCGAACGGGUGAGUAACACGUGAGUGAUCUGCCCCCAACUUGGGUAUAAGCCUGGGAAACUGGGUCUAAUUCCCGAUAGGACUGCAGGGUGGUGCCUGUGGUGGAAAACGAUUUUCUAGUGGUUGGGGAUGAGCUCGCGGCCUAUCAGCUUGUUGGUGGGGUAAUGGCCUACCAAGGCGGCGACGGGUAGCCAGCCUGAGAGGGUGGACGGCCAAAUUGGGACUGGGAUCAGGCCCAGACUCCUACGGGAGGCAGCAGUGGGGAAUAUUGGACAAUGGGCGGAAGCCUGAUGCAGCGAGGCAGCGUGGAGGAUGACGGCCUUCGGGUUGUAAGCUCCUUUCGACCGCGAGGAAGCCACCUGGCUGGAAGGGUGGUGACGGUAGUGGUAGAAGAAGCACCGGCUAACUACGUG